AACGAACGCUGGCGGCAUGCCUAACACAUGCAAGUCGAACGAGACCUUCGGGUCUAGUGGCGCACGGGUGCGUAACGCGUGGGAACCUGCCCUUAGGUUCGGAAUAACUCCCCGAAAGGGGUGCUAAUACCGGAUAAUGUCUUCGGACCAAAGAUUUAUCGCCUUUGGAUGGGCCCGCGUUGGAUUAGCUAGUUGGUAGGGUAAAAGCCUACCAAGGCGACGAUCCAUAGCUGGUCUGAGAGGAUGAUCAGCCACACUGGGACUGAGACACGGCCCAGACCCCUACGGGAGGGAGCAGUGGGGAAUAAUGGACAAUGGGCGAAAGCCUGAUCCAGCAAUGCCGCGGGAGUUAUGAAGGCCUUAGGGUUGGAAAGCUCUUUUACCCGGGAUGAUAAUGACAGUACCGGGAGAAUAAGCUCCGGCUAACUCCGUG
rnacentral:rRNA from 1 species